GGGAAACUGCCCGAUGGAGGGGGAUAACUACUGGAAACGGUAGCUAAUACCGCAUAACGUCGCAAGACCAAAGUGGGGGACCUUCGGGCCUCACACCAUCGGAUGUGCCCAGAUGGGAUUAGCUGGUAGGCGGGGUAACGGCCCACCUAGGCGACGAUCCCUAGCUGGUCUGAGAGGAUGACCAGCCACACUGGAACUGAGACACGGUCCAGACUCCUACGGGAGGCAGCAGUGGGGAAUAUUGCACAAUGGGCGCAAGCCUGAUGCAGCCAUGCCGCGUGUAUGAAGAAGGCCUUCGGGUUGUAAAGUACUUUCAGCGGGGAGGAAGGUGC
rnacentral:rRNA from 1 species